rnacentral:rRNA from 1 species
GAUGAACGCUGGCGGCGUGCCUAAUACAUGCAAGUCGAGCGAACGGACGAGAAGCUUGCUUCUCUGAUGUUAGCGGCGGACGGGUGAGUAACACGUGGAUAACCUACCUAUAAGACUGGGAUAACUUCGGGAAACCGGAGCUAAUACCGGAUAAUAUUUUGAACCGCAUGGUUCAAAAGUGAAAGACGGUCUUGCUGUCACUUAUAGAUGGAUCCGCGCUGCAUUAGCUAGUUGGUAAGGUAACGGCUUACCAAGGCAACGAUGCAUAGCCGACCUGAGAGGGUGAUCGGCCACACUGGAACUGAGACACGGUCCAGACUCCUACGGGAGGCAGAAGUAGGGAAGCUUCCGCAAUGGGCGAAGGCCUGACGGAGCAACGCCGCGUGAGUGAUGAAGGUCUUCGGAUCGUAAAACUCUGUUAUUAGGGAAGACCAUAUGUGUAAGUAACUGUGCACAUCUUGACGGUACCUAAUCAGAAAGCCACGGCUAACUACGUG